UACAAUUUAGAACUCGAAUUCGAAAUAAAUUGCGAAACUGCGAAACUUGGAUGCUUUAACCUUUGUGUUCCACAAUUAGCAUUGCUGUUUGUUGACCGAGGGAGAUCGAACGUUUUCCAGAAAGAGGAGCUCACUGACGUGCGGCGAUCCGUCAGAGAGGACGAAUUGUUGAAUCGCCGCCAAGAAGGAAGCGUUUUGCAAAAUCUUACAAAUUAACUUGCGUACACAUUCUCAAAGCAAAUACAUAGUCGAGGACCAGGGAGAAGAAAGUCAGAAAUUGCAGAAGAAAAAUACAUGAGAAAACUCAUCGAUAGAAACGACAACGGGAAUGGGGAAACUCAGACUCGUAACAAUGGAAAGUGGAAUCGCUUUUGGAUCGUUUCUAAUCGAGAGAUCUUCGAUGGUAAAAUUUGAUUUCGAUGGUGAUCGUCGGUGACUCACGUUUUAG
rnacentral:misc_RNA from 1 species